rnacentral:rRNA from 1 species
CUUCUGGGCGAGCGGCGGACGGGUUAGUAACGCGUGGGAACGUACCCUUCUCUACGGAAUAGCCUUUGGAAACGAAGAGUAAUACCGUAUACGCCCUUUGGGGGAAAGAUUUAUCGGAGAAGGAUCGGCCCGCGUAAGAUUAGAUAGUUGGUGGGGUAACGGCCUACCAAGUCUACGAUCUUUAGCUGGUUUUAGAGGAUGAUCAGCAACACUGGGACUGAGACACGGCCCAGACUCCUACGGGAGGCAGCAGUGGGGAAUCUUGGACAAUGGGCGCAAGCCUGAUCCAGCCAUGCCGCGUGUGUGAAGAAGGCCCUAGGGUCGUAAAGCACUUUCGCCAGAGAUGAUAAUGACAGUAUCUGGUAAAGAAGUCCCGGCUAACUCCGUACCAGCAGCCGCGGUAAUACGGAGGGGACUAGCGUUGUUCGGAAUUACUGGGCGUAAAGCGUACGUAGGCGGAUCAGAAAGUAUGGGGUGAAAUCCCAGGGCUCAACCCUGGAACUGCCUCAUAAACUCCUGGUCUUGAGUUCGAGA